GAUGAACGCUGGCGGUGUGCCUAAUACAUGCAAGUCGAGCGAACACAUGAUAAGAUUGCUCUUCUGCCGUUAGCGGCUGACGGGUGAGUAACACGUGGAUCAGCUACCUAUUAGUCUGGGGUAAUUUCGGGAAACCGGAGACACUACCAGCUCAUACGUCGAACGGGUUGAUUCAAUAGUGCUUGACGGUUUUGCUGUCUCUUUGAGCUGGUUCCGCGUCGCAUUAGCUAGUUGGUAAGGUAACGGCCUACCAAGGCAACGAUGCGUAGCUGACCUGAGAGGAUGAUCGGCCACACUGGAACUGAGACACGGUCCAGACUCCUACGGGAGGCAGCAGUAGGGAAUCUUCCACAAUGGGCGAAAGCCUGACGGAGCAACACCGCGUGAGUGAUGAAGGUCUUCGGAUCGUAAAACUCUGUUAUUAGGGAAGAACAAAUGUAUAAUUAACUAUGCACGUCUUGACGGUACCUAAUCAGAAAGCCACGGCUAACUACGUG
rnacentral:rRNA from 1 species